UACGAAGGGGGCUAGCGUUGCUCGGAAUCACUGGGCGUAAAGCGCACGUAGGCGGAUUGUUAAGUCAGGGGUGAAAUCCCGGAGCUCAACUCCGGAACUGCCUUUGAUACUGGCGAUCUUGAGUCCGGAAGAGGUGAGUGGAACUCCGAGUGUAGAGGUGAAAUUCGUAGAUAUUCGGAAGAACACCAGUGGCGAAGGCGGCUCACUGGUCCGGUACUGACGCUGAGGUGCGAAAGCGUGGGGAGCAAACAGG
rnacentral:rRNA from 1 species